AUUGUCCCUCUCAUCCAGGCUUCGACUGCGCCGUCGUGUUCGCCAGUGCAGCCAUUCGUCUCCUUCCGGAUCGCUAAAUGAUCUCCGGUCGAAAUCGUCGAACCUAUUUAGCGGUGGACGGCGGUGGUCCGGGACUGGGUGUCGGUAAUUGAAGAGACAAACCGGUGGGUCGAGCAUUAGCGAGAGAGCUUCGAGUAAACGAGUCUCCGGUGAAGGAUCGAGUUCGGGGAGGGGGAGGUGGACCUCUUCAACGAAGUGGCCGAAACAGCGUGGGCAUGUGAGGUCCGACGGUUGUGCGGAGGCGAGGGUGACGGUCCGAUGGCAUUGGUGGCACCAGUAGAGGUGGAAGGUUCUGGCAUGGCGGCGGUCGUUGGUUGUGUGGGGAGGUGGGGUGAAAGACAUGGGUAGUUUUGUUAUAUUAUGAAAGGAUUUGGGAAAGGGAAUCGGAAUAUGGGAAGAUUUUAUAUAUCGGAAAACGAUGGGAGAGGACGGGAGAAAGGAAUGGCUUCCUUGGUUUGCAGAAGCAAUUCCGACAGCCGCCAUUUCUGUAUUCUGAGUGACUCGAGACCCAAACAUAUGCCAACGUUGUCCCGACGUCCGAAUUUCUCGUGACUGACUUGUUCACUCGAUUAGAACAAGUGUCGCACAAUCACUAUCCCGCUAUUAUAAGAGUGCGAUUGUAACAGGUAAAGAUGAUUAUUCUUUGUUGAAUAUGAUAUUCAUUCUCUUAUAAAUUAAUGUCGAAAGUA